AACGAACGCUGGCGGCAUGCCUAACACAUGCAAGUCGAACGAGACCUGCGGGCUUAGUGGCGCAUGGGUGCGUGAAGCGUGGGAAACUGCCCUUAGGUUCGGAAUAACUCCCCGAAAGGGGUCCUAAUACCGGCUAUUGUCCUCGGACCAAAGAUUUAUCGCGUUUGGAUGGGCGCGCGUUGGAUUAGCUUGUUGGUAGGGUAAAAGCGUAUCAAGGCGUGGAUACAUAGCUGGUAUGAGAGGAUGGUCAGCCACACUGGGCCGGAGACACGGCCCAGACUCUUAGGGGAGGGGGGAGAGGGUAAUAUAGGACAAUGGGCUGAGGCCUGAUCCAGCUAUGCCGGGUAAGUGAUGAAGGCCGUAGGGUAGUAAAGCUCUUUUACCCGGGACGAUAAUGACGGUACCGGGAGAAUAAGCACCGGCUAACUCCGUG
rnacentral:rRNA from 1 species